rnacentral:rRNA from 1 species
AGUCGAGCGGAACGAGUUAUCUGAACCUUCGGGGAACGAUAACGGCGUCGAGCGGCGGACGGGUGAGUAAUGCCUAGGAAAUUGCCCUGAUGUGGGGGAUAACCAUUGGAAACGAUGGCUAAUACCGCAUAAUGCCUACGGGCCAAAGAGGGGGACCUUCGGGCCUCUCGCGUCAGGAUAUGCCUAGGUGGGAUUAGCUAGUUGGUGAGGUAAUGGCUCACCAAGGCGACGAUCCCUAGCUGGUCUGAGAGGAUGAUCAGCCACACUGGAACUGAGACACGGUCCAGACUCCUACGGGAGGCAGCAGUGGGGAAUAUUGCACAAUGGGCGCAAGCCUGAUGCAGCCAUGCCGCGUGUGUGAAGAAGGCCUUCGGGUUGUAAAGCACUUUCAGUCGUGAGGAAGGUAGUGUAGUUAAUAGCUGCAUUAUUUGACGUUAGCGACAGAAGAAGCACCGGCUAACUCCGUGCCAGCAGCCGCGGUAAUACGGAGGGUGCGAGCGUUAAUCGGAAUUACUGGGCGUAAAGCGCAUGCAGGUGGUUUGUUAAGUCAGAUGUGAAAGCCCGGGGCUCAACCUCGGAAUUGCAUUUGAAACUGGCAGACUAGAGUACUGUAGAGGGGGGUAGAAUUUCAGGUGUAGCGGUGAAAUGCGUAGAGAUCUGAAGGAAUACCGGUGGCGAAGGCGGCCCCCUGGACAGAUACUGACACUCAGAUGCGAAAGCGUGGGGAGCAAACAGGAUUAGAUACCCUGGUAGUCCACGCCGUAAACGAUGUCUACUUGGAGGUUGUGGCCUUGAGCCGUGGCUUUCGGAGCUAACGCGUUAAGUAGACCGCCUGGGGAGUACGGUCGCAAGAUUAAAACUCAAAUGAAUU